rnacentral:tRNA from 1 species
GGCACCAUAGCUCAGUCGGUAGAGCAGGGGAUUGAAAAUCCCCGUGUCCUUGGUUCGAUUCCGAGUCCGGGCACCA